rnacentral:rRNA from 1 species
UACGUAGGGUGCAAGCGUUGUCCGGAAUUAUUGGGCGUAAAGAGCUUGUAGGCGGUUUGUCGCGUCUGCUGUGAAAUUUCGGGGCUCAACCCCGAACUUGCAGUGGGUACGGGCAGACUAGAGUGUGGUAGGGGAGACUGGAAUUCCUGGUGUAGCGGUGAAAUGCGCAGAUAUCAGGAGGAACACCGAUGGCGAAGGCAGGUCUCUGGGCCAUAACUGACGCUGAGACACGAAAGCGUGGGGAGCAAACAGG